UGGGGAAUAUUGCACAAUGGGCGCAAGCCUGAUGCAGCGACGCCGCGUGAGGGAUGACGGCCUUCGGGUUGUAAACCUCUUUCAGUACCGACGAAGCGCAAGUGACGGUAGGUACAGAAGAAGCACCGGCCAACUACGUGCCAGCAGCCGCGGUAAUACGUAGGGUGCGAGCGUUGUCCGGAAUUACUGGGCGUAAAGAGCUCGUAGGCGGUUUGUCGCGUCGUCUGUGAAAACCCGCAGCUCAACUGCGGGCUUGCAGGCGAUACGGGCAGACUUGAGUACUGCAGGGGAGACUGGAAUUCCUGGUGUAGCGGUGAAAUGCGCAGAUAUCAGGAGGAACACCGGUGGCGAAGGCGGGUCUCUGGGCAGUAACUGACGCUGAGGAGCGAAAGCGUGGGUAGCGAACA
rnacentral:rRNA from 1 species